rnacentral:rRNA from 1 species
AUUGGGCGUAAAGGGUGCGUAGGCGGGUUAUCAAGUCUUUGGUUAAAAUGCGGUGCUCAACGCCGUAGUGCCAAAGAAACUGAUAGUCUAGAGUAUGGUAGAAGUGAGUGGAACUCCAUGUGUAGCGGUAAAAUGCGUAAAUAUAUGGAAGAACACCAGUGGCGAAGGCGGCUCACUAGGCCAAUACUGACGCUGAGACACGAAAGCGUGGGGAGCAAACAGGAUUAGAUACCCUGGUAGUCCACGCCCUAAACGAUGAGUACUAAGUGUAGCCAGAAGGCUGUGCUGAAGUUAACGCAUUAAGUACUCCGCCUGAGUAGUACGUACGCAAGUAUGAAACUUAAAGGAAUUGACGGGAUCCCGCACAAGCGGUGGAGCAUGUUGUUUAAUUCGACGAUACGCGAAGAACCUUACCAGGUCUUGACAUACUCGGCAAAUCUAUAGAGAUAUAGAGGAGGUUAACCGGGAUACAGGUGGUGCAUGGUUGUCGUCAGCUCGUGUCGGGAGAUGUUAGGUUAAGUCCUGCAACGAGCGCAACCCUUAUUGCUAGUUACCAUCAUUAAGUUGGGGACUCUAGCGAGACUGCCGGUGAUAAACCGGAGGAAGGCGGGGAUGACGUCAAAUCAUCAUGCCCUUUAUGACCUGGGCUAC